rnacentral:rRNA from 1 species
GGCCUAUAUUGCAGUCGAACGGCACCACAGCACAGCUUGCUCUGUGGGUGGCCAGUGGCGGACGGGUGAGGAAUACAUGGGAAUCUGCCCAUUCGUGGGGGAUAACGUAGGGAAACUUACGCUAUUACCGCAUGCGCCCUUCGGGGGAAAGCGGGGGACCUUCGGGCCUGGCGCGAUUGGAUGAGCCCCUGUCGGAUUACCUAGUUGGCGGGUUAAAGGCCCACCGUGGCGACGAUCCGUACCUGGUCUGAGAGGAUGAUCAGCCACACUGGAACUGAGACACGGUCCAAACUCCUACGGGAGGCACCAGUAGGGAAUAUUGGACUCUGGGCGCAAGCCUGAUCCCUUUCGCCGCGUGUGUGAAGAAGGCCUUCGGGUUGUAAAGCACUUUUGUCUGGAAAGAAAAUCCCUGGUUUAACCCCCUGGUGUCCUGACCGUACCGGAAAAAUAAGCACCGGAUAAUUUCGUGCCAGCACCCGCGGUAAUACAAAGGGUGCUUGCAUUACUCAGAAUUACUGCGCGUAACGCGUGCGUAGGUGGUUUGUUAAGUCUGAUGUGAACCCCCUGCGCUCUCCCUGGGAAUGCCAUUGAAUACUGACG